rnacentral:rRNA from 1 species
AGCUCCAAUAGCGUAUACUAAAGUUGUUGCAGUUAAAAAGCUCGUAGUCGGAUUUCUGCGCGGGCAGGGCAGCCAGUGCCGCUUUUGGCUCAGCGCUAGCAACGCCCGCGCAUCCUGCCGCGAACGUCGCUACCAUUAGUUUGGUGGCGCCUCGGGAGCGGCUCCUUUACUUUGAAAAAAUAGCGUGUUCAAAGCAGUCCAUAACUCCGCCUUGAAUAAUGCAGCAUGGAAUAAUGACUAAGGACUUCGGUUCUAUUUUGUUGGUGUUCCGGGACUGAAGUAAUGAUUGAUAGGGACGGUUGGGGGCCUCCGUAUUUCGGAGCGAGAGGUGAAAUUCUUAGACCUCCGGAAGACGAACCGCUGCGAAAGCGUUGGCCAAGGACGUGCCCU